AACGAACGCUGGCGGCAUGCCUAACACAUGCAAGUCGAACGAGACCUUCGGGUCUAGUGGCGCACGGGUGCGUAACGCGUGGGAACCUGCCCUUAGGUUCGGAAUAACUCCCCGAAAGGGGUGCUAAUACCGGAUAAUGUCUUCGGACCAAAGAUUUAUCGCCCUUGGAUGGGCCCGCGUUGGAUUAGCUAGUUGGUAGGGUAAAAGCCUACCAAGGCGACGAUCCAUAGCUGGUCUGAGAGGAUGAUCAGCCACACUGGGACUGAGACACGGCCCAGACUCCUACGGGAGGCAGCAGUGGGGAAUAGUGGACAAUGGGCGAAAGCCUGAUCCAGCAAGGCCGCGUGAGUGAUGAAGGCCUUAGGGUUGUAAAGCUCUUUUAACCGGGAUGAUAAUGACAGUACCGGGAGAAUAAGCUCCGGCUAACUCCGUG
rnacentral:rRNA from 1 species